rnacentral:rRNA from 1 species
AUUGAACGCUGGCGGCAGGCCUAACACAUGCAAGUCGGGCGCGCGGCGGACGGGUGAGUAAUGUAUGGGGAUCUGCCUGAUGGCGGGGGAUAACUACUGGAACCGGUAGCUAAUACCGCAUACCCUCAGAUGAACCCAUAUUGGAGUAGCUAGUAGGUAAGGUAACGGCUUACCUAGGCGACGAUCCCUAGCUGGUCUGCGAGGAUGAUCAGCGCAACGGGGACUGAGAAACGGCCCAGACUCCUACGGGAGGCAGCAGUGGGGAAAAUGGCACAAUGGGCGGAAGCCGGAUGCAGCCAGGCCGAGUGUAUGAAGAAGGCCUUCGGGUUGUAAAGUACUUUCAGUCGGGAGGCGUUACCGACAGAAGAAGCACCGGCUAACUCCGUGCCAGCAGCCGCGGUAAUAC